GAGGAUUUAGCUCAGUGGUAGAGCGCUUGCCUAGCAAGCACAAGGCUCUGGGUUCAGUCCCCAGCUCU
rnacentral:tRNA from 1 species